rnacentral:misc_RNA from 1 species
CCGUGUGGCGACCGUGAGCCCCGAGGUUGCGGCCUUCCCCGCUGCCGCCAGCCCAAGUUUGAGCGUCGUCUCGAGCAGUUGGCGCGCGCGCACGGUCCCGGCGCGCCGUACUACGUCCACCGGUCCCCACUGACGGCAGCAGCGGUGCAACUUCGAUUUCCGAUUACGGCACACGUCGUGGGCUCACUUUUUGACGACGACGCAGGAAGGGGUGUCGGCCACUAGUGGGAGCUUCAGGGUGCUGCAAUGUGCCGAGUGCUUGGCCCGGUAGCCCGUGAGCCGCAGCAGCCAUUUGCACACUCCUCAGCUCUCUGGCCCCUCUGAGAAAGUGCCAACAUGGAAGAACUCCAACCAGAAAUGGCCGCAGCCACCACUACCACGGCCACUACCACCACAACUACCACCACCACCACCACCACCAAUAACAAUUCUGACUCUGAUGCCAGCCCUGGCCGGAGCAGCCCAGCAUCUCAACAAAGUGAACCCGGCAGCCGAGCAGCCCCCGAUGCAGCAGCCGCACGACCGGAUGUGCAAGCAGCAGCCGCUGGUUCGAGUCGGCGUCGCAGAGCAGCUGACUGGGAAAUCAUGCAGGGGCUGCGCACAGGCCAGCGCUGUGAUGACAAGCCAAAAAAAUUUGAGGGCUACCUGCUUAAACGCCGCAAGUGGCCACUUAAAGGAUGGCACAAGCGGUUUUUUUGCCUUGAGAAGGGGAUCCUAACGUAUGCAAAGUCUUCAACGGAUAUGGCAAAGGGAAAAAAUCAUGGGUCUGUUGACCUUGGGCUUUCUGUGAUUUCCACCAAAGGCAAAGGGCGGCGAAUUGACAUUGAUGCUGAGGAAUUUAUUUAUCAUCUAAAGGUGAAAAAUCAAGCGCAGUUCCAGCAGUGGGUGUCUCAGUUGCAGCAUCACCGGCUCUACCGACAGCAUGAAAUUACCUUUGGUAGCCGGGAAGCACCCAAAAUGACCUCGCCUGCUGCCGAGGACUCUGGCGGUGUUCCAGGGGGCAAUGGACCAUCAGGAUUCGAGCUCAGCAACUUGACCUCAGCCAUGCUGCUAGAAAAUUCUCGUCUAAUACGCAGCCCAUUAAACCAGCAGCAAAGUCGUGUGGCUGCUUGGAUCCUGGACUCAUCAGCCAUUGACCAUGGGAACAAAGAUGCUUCAAUGCUCCAAGAGAAGUUGUUCCAUUUGUCCAAUCUACUGCAGCUGAUUGAAAAUAGUCCCAGCACAAUGUCUUCAAAUUACCUUGAGAUUCCCGAGAUGGAGCAUGUGGUUGGAGGUCAAAAGAAAGAUCGCAAGCGGUUUCACCUGAAACGCAUCCGAAGAGGCAAAAAGGACUCUGAGCCUGGUGUGGCAAGCAAAGGGGGCAGCAGUGGAAGCAGCAGCAGUGGGAAGCCACCACUCAAUGUUGAAAUAACAGUGUCGCAGGAUGCAGCUGGCGCUAAUGAUAUUUUUGCCAGUAUGGACAACCUCACAGAGGCAAAUCGCUCUGAAAAGUCGGAUGGGUCUGCCAUGCUUUCGAUACGAGACAUGGGCUACCUGAGUUGUUCACACCCUUCAUUGGCAUCUGAUGGGACUCUGGUUGGCUCUGUGCCUGACAGCAAUGCAUACUGCUCAUACGACACUACAGGUGUCUUCAAGCACAUGGAGCAGUUUCUUUCUCUGGCUAAGGAAGUGCAUUCAGGCCUGCGAACCAUGCUGCGCAGUCUACAAACCGAGAGAGAGCGCCUUAAGCAGCACUUGGAGUCUGAGAGUGCUGCCAGCUGUGGCAGCAAUGCUGCAUUGAUCGCAAAUCUUAAGAACGCACUGACACAGGCAGUUCAGCAAAACUAUGACCUUCGUGCCUGCCUAAAGAAGAUUCACGAAGAGACUGAUCCGUCAACUUUCCCAGCAGCUGAUGGGUCGGCAGCAGAAAGCUUUGAUGAGCCAACGCUUGUGCAUCAACCUGUGCAGCAGUCGGUGUCACACGAGAGCUCGUCCGCACUGUCAACAUCGGAGUUCUUUGACGCAGCUGAAAAGUUGUCACUGAGCAGCUCUUCCUCAGAGGAAGAAGAAGAGGAAGGCAGCUUUUGCAGUGAGGUGUCUGAUGAUGGCACUGAAUAUGCACCGGGUGCUGAGGGCAAUCUCACAGACCGCCCUCCAAUGUCUCAAGGGCGCCGUUCAAAGCUGCCAGCUCCCAAACCUGAUGCAGGCGACACAAGCUUGUGGAACUUACUGUGUAAGAACAUUGGCAAGGAUUUGUCCAAAGUGAGCAUGCCGGUGACCAUCAAUGAGCCCCUGAACAUGUUACAAAGGCUGUGUGAAGAACUGGAAUACAGCGAUCUGUUAGAUAAAGCUGCUUCAACUGAAGACCAUUUUGAACGAAUGGUGUGCAUAGCUGCCUUUGCUGUCUCCGGCUACAGCUCAUCCUAUCAUCGAGCUGGGCACAAACCUUUCAACCCAUUGCUUGGAGAAACUUACGAAUGCAUUCGAGAGGACAAGGGUUUCCGGUUCAUUGCAGAGCAGGUGAACCACCAUCCACCUGUUUCUGCCUGCUAUGCUGAGUCUAAGAACUACAAGUUUUGGCAAGAUGUUAGGAUCAAAACCAAAUUUUGGGGAAAGUCUAUGGAGAUCCUCCCAGUGGGCUCUGUUCACCUCGAGUUGUUGAGCUCUGGAAGUCACUACCAAUGGAACAAGGUGACCACAUGUGUGCACAACAUCUUUAGUGGCCAGCGGUGGGUGGAUCAGUACGGUGAAAUGACAAUCCGAGACCUGUCCCAUGAUGUGACCUGCAAAUUGACUUUUGUAAAGGCCAGCUAUUGGUCUGACAAACGCCAUGAAGUUUUUGGAACUGUGGUCAACAAGCAGGGAGAUGUCAUUUGCAACCUCUCAGGACAGUGGACCGAAGCCAUUUACUGCGGUGUCGCCCCUGCAGCAAAGUGCAUCUGGAGGCCUGGAACAAUGCCUGAAGACUAUGAGCUGUACUAUGGUUUUACACGGUUCGCCAUUGAACUGAAUGAACUUGACCCACAAAUGGCCAAACUGUUGCCUCCAACUGAUUCAAGGUUCCGGCCAGACCAAAGGCUGUUGGAGGAGGGCAACAUUGCUGCAGCUGAAGCAGUAAAGUCUCAGUUGGAGCAGAACCAGAGGGAACGGCGGAAGCAGAGGGAAGAACAGGGCAUUGAAUAUCAGCCAAUGUGGUUCAGAAAAGAGACAACGAAAGAUGGCAAGGAGCAUUGGACUUACACUCACAAAUACUGGGAGACUCGCACAAACCCUGGCUUCAGCAGCAUCUCAUUUCCCGAAAAGCUUUGGGAUUCUCUUUAACACAGCAGGGCUCACUCACGCACAGUGCCAGAGUGGUGGUAGAAGUAUUUGUGGAUCCUUCUUUUUUUGUUUUGUUUUCUUAUUUGUUGCUGUGCAAGUGCACAAUCCGAAUUUUGCAUUAUUUUCACCAUUAACUUGCACUGCUUGUUCUUUUUCCACUCUGAGGGUGUGCGCCUGAAUUCUUUGUGUCACUAACUGUAUAAGCGGCAUUUUGUAGUUUCGCUAGGUGACUACCUCCAGUACAGUGCACACAUCGAAGCGUGGUAUACUCAAGUCCUUGUUGUUUAUUGAUUGAUUGAUGCUUAUCUGUUCGGCGCACAUAUCAUGUGUAUUUGGUGCAUUUUAAUUAGUGUUAACUCUGCUCCUACCCAUGGACUUUCAUGCUAGCAGUACUCCUGCUGGCAGGUGAUAAUUGCUGGGGCAUUCUAGUUGUGUGAUGCUUGUGAGUUUUACAUACUUUGAAUUUUGAAAGAAUAUGCUGCUUCAGAUUGCUCUACUUGGUGACAUUAACCUUGUACCUUCACCAGGGGUGUGGAAAUAUCAAAUUAUUGUUUUUUCUAUUGUUCUCUCAUGCUUUCAUGUUAACAAGGAGUCUGCUCUCUUGAAAAACAUGGAAGAACAUGAUUCACACAUUGUACUCUUUUGACCUGGGUACCAUUAAGCAUGCUCAUUAAUUUGAAGUGCCUGGUUUUAGAAUUGGUGAUUUAAUUUUUAUUAGAACAGCAACUUUUUUCAAGCUUCCAAGUACUAAUAAAUUAUCAUUGUUGGACAGGCUUUUUGAAUAACAAUAAACACAGACACAAAAACAAGCACUGUGGGACAUGUUGUCAAGUGGAACAUCUUAAAAUUGUAAAUAUUCAAUGUGAUCGAUUUGUAUUAUGGAACCAACAAUACCGAGAAACCAACUAGCUGAAAACAAGCAGGGGUAAGUCACUGUGUUUGUCAAGUUGUUACAUGCAUAUCUGUUAAAAUUCCCAGCACCUUAAGGCAACAUCUGGGAGUAAUAUUAGUAUUGUUCACUGCUUGUAGAUGCUAUGGUUGGUGAAAUAAGAGAGGACGUGUGGGCUGUACGCUUAUGCUGCAUAAUAAAUAGAUGUAUAGGAGGUUAUGGGGCCAUGAACGUUUUGAAUGAAUGGAUAUUCAAUCAUUGAUCCUGUAGUGUGUAUUCAUGGUGUGUGUAUAUACUGUUGCACAGUUACUGGGUUUCAUAGCCUGGCCAUAGUGGCUACAUUAUGGGAGAUUGGUAUAAUGGCCAAGUACUUAGGUUUUAGUACUACACAUUGCCACAAAAUGGUCAAAAUCAAUCCAAAGCACUUCACUACAGGAUUUCUCACAAGCAAGGCAUUGCUUUUGGGUAUGAACCCCAUCAAUCAGUCAUCAAACAAAUAGUUAAGUUCAUUUUAGCAACGUUAACUUCUUUCUAUUUUACGACUUGAACUUGUGCAUUAUUUUCAAUGCUCUGUUGGAUCUCAGCUUUCUGUUAGCAGUGUUUGAGAAAAGUGCAGUUUUGAUAUUUUCACACCCCUGUGUAUAGAUACUGUUGAAGUGGCCAGUUUGUACAACACAUUGAUACAAUGUGUUUGUAUUAUUUGCUACAAGGAUUUUAUCAUUUACUUGCUGCCAUGUCAUAAGAUGCCAAGGACUACAUUCUGCAGUGCUGGUGCGUGAAAACUGCUUUAACAGGUUUGGGUUGCUGUUGAAACCCUCGAGUUUGCCUUAACAUGUGGGACAGUUUUGACCAGGUGCACUGACUGGCCCACAUUCUUACCUAGCCAUGUACCAUCCCGAUACACGUGAUGCUUCCAUAUAUGAGUAGGCAGGCACAGUUCAGUGUCUGUACAACAGUAGUCUUUCGCUCUGUAUAAAAACGAGAGGCAGCCACUCUUAUACAUAAGAAAAUAACCUAGCUAGAAUGAAGUUCACCUUUUUUUUUUCCUGUGGUCACUGAAGGAGCCCUGGAACACCUUUGCUUGCCUUUUCCCAGAUAUCAGUCCAUUUUUCACUCUUUCAUCGACAUUGUGUUGCAGUGCAUUUGAUAAAGGUGCCAACGUUUGACUUUCUUAUUUGUAAAUGUCGAUUAUGUUUCGAAGCACAUUGAUAAAAGGUUAAAAUUAAUGGGUUCAGAGCAUUAUUUUGGAGGAACUUUUAAGUGUCUCUCUUUGGCAGCUGCAUGCUACUUUCAGAUAAUGGCAACUUUCUCUUAAAUGACUCUUCUUUCAUCUUGAAGAUUUCUGCAGAAUGGAUUCAGUUAUUCAGUGUUCCUCUGCUUCUAGAUAUCAAAUUAACUACCCCCUCGCCUUGCCAUAUACUAGCCUCCCAAUUAACUCGGUUGAAAAAGUGGCUACCCACUGAAAGGGUGUGGUGCUGGUUAACCGAAGCAGGAUGAAUUUUUGUUCAGAUAUGAAGCUUUUGUUAUGUUUAGCCCGUGUGGGUUUCCUUGGUAGCUUCAAGUGGGCACCAACGUUCUCUUGCAUGUUUAUGCAUGGCUGCUUAACCCUUUGAGGGCUUUUGCCAUACAUGCACGGUGGCGGUUUUCUGCUCCGCAAGGUCUUUGCCAUACGGGUACGUUUUUGACUGUCCGUUUGCAAUUUCACGCCGUAAUGAUGAUGCAUGCUCACUGGGAGGUGCUGCCUGUCCUACAAGCAUUUGAAAUGAUUGUGCUACCUUCUUGCGGAGAUAAAACAGAACUGAUUUCCAGCUUCAGCGUGUCGCAUGCUCUGUGGCAACGCCCUUUCGUGAUUUCGGUUUCGCCAUGUGAUCGCAAUGGAGGCGCGCGAAACUUGAUUUUUAUCUUUGUCGGCACUCCCUUGCAGGGGCGGCGCAAGUUGAUUUCCGUCUUUAUUGGCGCUGCUAUUAGCUUGUUUAUCACCAACGCUCACGAGGUAUUGUCGCUGUCCUUGUUUACUGUGUUUACUCUGCUUAAGGCAGCCGCACACAGAAAAGAUGUCGUGUGUAUUAACACAACUCGUCGCUCGAAGAGGAGAAUGGACAUGCAUUUUAUGUGUGCAUGCUGCGAUAAGGCGCUGUGCGUAGACCCGUGUUUCAAGGAUAUCACGCUCUGAAAUGCUAUUGAGCAUAUUGCAGCUCUGAGUGAUGCUGACAUCAAAAUACUGUUCCUGAUUUUUUUUACAAUUCUUUCAUGACUUUAUACAUUUGGUACAUUCAAAAUCCGCAAUAAAGUAAUUUGACCAUCUGGGAAACCUUUUUUUAAAAAAAUUCGACCCUCAAAGGGCUAACAGCGGGUGUGCCUUGGUCCCACUUCGUAUCUGGCGUGCCAAUGACAAGGGGAGACAAAUAGCCUCAAUGACAAAAAAACAGUAGCAUCUGUAAAAGGUGUUUCGGGGCCCCUUUAAAAGUUGUGUCUGCAGCAGUUUUAGAGACAGAUUUAAUAGGGCUGGGCUUUGCUGUCCCUCUUUUUCUUUUUGCUUUGCCAGUUGGCUUAAUUGUGUUAUGCUUGUAACCUUCAGCUGAAUCCUGCAGGCAGGUGUGUCAGUUGAGGUUAUGCAUUAAUUUUGAAUUUGAAGUGAAUUGUGUUUAUGGUUAAAAGGCCAUGCCUUGUGGCUUUGUAGUGCUUCUUAGUCCAAGGAAUGUGGGUGUGCCAUUGAGCUAUGAGACACACAUUGCAAACACUGUGAUUUGUUGAAGUGUUGAGGCGGCAACUGCGAGUGUUGCCUCCAAAGAAUAAAGCCGCACAAAAGCCGAAGCAUUAAAAAAAAAAUGGAAGCGAGUGGCAACAGAGAUAGUGCCUCAUGGUGAGAGAGAGCCAAACAAACAAAAUCUUAUUCGCACAGUCCGCUUGUGGAAAGUGUGCUACAAUCUUUUAUGUAUGUGGAGCACUUGUGAUUCAUGAGUGCAUUUGUGCAGUUGAGUCAGUAAUAAUUACAGUAAUAAGAGAACAUCAGUAAUAAUAUAUAGUGUUAACUUGAUGUGCUAUAAAAAGUUUCAAGCUGGAAUUUUAUGUCUUACUAUAUGUUGUUUGUUUAAAAACAGAAAUUGCUGUUACAGGUUGGAGACACAAAGGGUAUUUUUGUGACAUGCUGUAGACAAUUUUGGUGUGCGUUGACCAAGGCUAUUGUCGAGUGGUGUUCCUAAACAGGUGUUAGGCCAUUCAAGCAAUAAUAGCAGCAGAGCGAACCCACUUGUACCUCUUCUUUUAAAAAAAAAUUGUUGCAUGUUUGUGCAAGCUCAAUGCUUUUCGACACUGCGUUUUUAUUGUUGUGAAAAAUAAAAAGUGGCAGAGAGGCUGUUACAGCCAUGUGCUUCUGGCAUAGACA